UACGUAGGGGGCAAGCGUUGUCCGGAAUUAUUGGGCGUAAAGCGCGUGUAGGCGGUUUUGCAAGUCGGGUGUGAAAGCCCUCAGCUCAACUGAGGAAGUGCGCCCGAAACUGCAGAGCUUGAGUACCGGAGAGGAUGGCGGAAUUCCCCAAGUAGAGGCGAAAUUCGUAGAUAUGGGGAGGAACACCGGUGGCGAAGGCGGCCAUCUGGACGGAUACUGACGCUGAGGAGCGAAAGCGUGGGGAGCAAACAGG
rnacentral:rRNA from 1 species